UGAGGAAUAUUGGUCAAUGGGCGGAAGCCUGAACCAGCCAAGUCGCGUGAGGGAAGACGGCCCUACGGGUUGUAAACCCUUCUUUCGGCCGGGCAGCAGAGAGUCCACGUGUGGAUCUUGGGAGAGUACCCGGAGAAAAAGCAUCGGCUAACUCCGUGCCAGCAGCCGCGGUAAUACGGAGGAUGCGAGCGUUAUCCGGAUUUAUUGGGUUUAAAGGGUGCGUAGGCGGCAUCGCAAGUCAGCGGUAAAAUUGCGGGGCUCAACCCCGCCGAGCCGUUGAAACUGCGGAGCUUGAGUGGGCGAGAAGUAUGCGGAAUGCGUGGUGUAGCGGUGAAAUGCAUAGAUAUCACGCAGAACCCCGAUUGCGAAGGCAGCAUACCGGCGCCCGACUGACGCUGAAGCACGAAAGCGUGGGUAUCGAACAGGAUUAGAUACC
rnacentral:rRNA from 1 species